GUAACCUGGUUGAUCCUGCCAGUAGUCAUAUGCUUGUCUCAAAGAUUAAGCCAUGCAUGUCUAAGUAUAAGCGACUAUACUGUGAAACUGCGAAUGGCUCAUUAAAUCAGUUAUGGUUUAUUUGAUGGUACCUUGCUACUUGGAUAACCGUAGUAAUUCUAGAGCUAAUACAUGCAGGAGUUCCCGACUCACGG
rnacentral:rRNA from 1 species